GCCAAGACUGGAGUCACAUCCUGACAUAGCUUAGCCUUUGUCCCGGUGUGGUGGAGUCCUCAGACAAUCUGCUGGUCUUCAUUCACUGGCUGAGGCAGUCAGUGUCCCUGUUAGUGCCCAAGUCAGAAACAGUC